rnacentral:lncRNA from 1 species
UGGCAUAUGUUACAUCAAUGGGAAGUCCAUCAACUUGAUUCGGUAGGAGGCUUUUCCUUUGGAUGUUUGGAAGCAUAAUGAUCACCAAUUUGAUUCUGAUUCGCUAGCUGUGCCUGAAACAGCAAACUGCCUCAAGUUUAGAAUGCCAUUGGACAUACAAAAAUUGUAUCAGCCAAGCUACAUAUUAGUACUGAUAUACCAUAUACUACAGCAAGCAGAUUGGUUUUAAAAAUGACGCAAAUUUAUAUCACAAUGGCAAACUAAAUGAUAGCAUAUGAAAUAGAGAUUAUAACAAGCACGUAUAAAGCACUGAAUGAGAAACUUUUCACAUAAAAUGGCCAAUAAUGCAAUAUUACUGGUGAUAUGUGUGUUUGAUCUGGCCAGGGUGAAAAAAUAAAGUCCUUCACUGGGAUUUCCAAGUAUGACCACUCAGCACAAUUAUUACCAUCUCAGAAUGUAAAUCCGUAAAUUCAAGAGGUGUAUCUUGACUAGACUACUUACAUAUGGAAAGGUAUGAAACACAUAUGGCAAGACACAGUUCUUCCAAGAUGAUGAAGCACAUAUUGUACUCCAAUUGGAUUUUCUUUUAAAUAUAACAUCACCUUAAUCCUUUAGUGUAAUUGCAGAAUCGUAUUUAUGACUACAUUUGCAAGCUCCUCCUUUUAACUAUUCUGAUGCCUGUUAAACAUGUUUCUAAUCCUAUAAAACAACAACACCAGCAACAAAAAAGACAAUUAACAGAAGUACUGAAACCUCAAUAAAUAUUAUAAUCAAUAGUUUGAAGUGUCACCCACAGUGGACAUUUCAAAGUUGGCCACUUCAGGGAAGCCAAGAAAGCCAAAAUAUCUCUCAAUAUUGAGACAAUGUGUGUAUCCGUUUAGUUCAUGUGGUUAUGGUAGUAGUUACUAGAGAAAACCAACAGUUUGCAGAACAUAACUCCUGUCGUAAAUUACGUCACACAUAAGCUCAGUCCUAAAUUUCCUCGUAUUCCAAGAGUCAUUAUGUUAUUUCCACCUCGUAUUCCAAGAGUCAUUAUGUUAUUUCCACCAACGAACAUUAAUAAGAUAACCAACGAAAAAUUUGAACUGCAAAUAAGCUGAAAUUGGUUGAGUUUGUGCUCAAGCCUUGCUCGUUACGCAUGAUAUACUCAAUAGCUUGCACAACAACACAAGGAAACUUCAACCUCGAGUCAGUUCUUGUAAUUGAUCUGAACUCAAUUUCGACUCACUUCGAGUGCGGAAUAAGAAAAAUGGUUCAGUUUGAAAAUAAGGAAACCUUAGACAUACGCUUAAAUCUCCAUAAUUUGCAGCAUAAUUGUUUCAAAAACAAAAAAUUUGCAUACGCACUGAAUCAAGAUAAAAGUGUACAAGCAACACAAGAUUUGUAAGUUUGUCAAUGUAAUAUCAAGAUAUGAUUAAAAUCAAAAAUCGAAAUCAAAAUCAAAAUCAAAAUCAGAUCAAAUCAAUCAAUCUAUUGAAAAUAAAUAAAUUUUAAAAAAGGAGUAGCAGCAACAGCAGCACCUUACAGAUGGGGCAGCUAACUUUGAGGGCAACAGCUCUGGCCUCGAUCUGAGAUCCCUUCGGCUUUUGAUUCCUCUCUGCGUUUCUCUUCUGCGCCUCAAUCUUCUGCUUUCCUCUCGUCAUCUCUUUGUCUCUCUCUAUUUGCGUAACCAAAUCCAACGCCAAAUCCCAAAUAUUAUCUAGCCUUUAAGUUUUGG